rnacentral:rRNA from 1 species
UACGUAGGGUGCAAGCGUUAAUCGGAAUUACUGGGCGUAAAGCGUGCGCAGGCGGUUAUGUAAGACAGUUGUGAAAUCCCCGGGCUCAACCCUGGGAACUGCAUCUGUGACUGCAUAGCUAGAGUACGGUAGAGGGGGAUGGAAUUCCGCGUGUAGCAGUGAAAUGCGUAGAUAUGCGGAGGAACACCGAUGGCGAAGGCAAUCCCCCUGGACCUGUACUGACGCUCAUGCACGAAAGCGUGGGGGAGCAAACAGG